rnacentral:rRNA from 1 species
CCUACGGGGGGCUGCAGUGAGGAAUAUUGGUCAAUGGGCUUACGCCUGAACCAGCCAAGUCGCGUGAGGGAAGACUGCCCUAUGGGUUGUAAACCUCUUUUGUCAGGGAGCAACGCCGGCUACGUGUAGCCGGACUGAGAGUACCUGAAGAAAAAGCAUCGGCUAACUCCGUGCCAGCAGCCGCGGUAAUACGGAGGAUGCGAGCGUUAUCCGGAUUUAUUGGGUUUAAAGGGUGCGUAGGCGGAAUGCCAAGUCAGCGGUAAAAUCGCGGGGCUCAACCCCGCUCCGCCGUUGAAACUGGCGGUCUUGAGUGGGCGAGAAGUAUGCGGAAUGCGUGGUGUAGCGGUGAAAUGCAUAGAUAUCACGCAGAACUCCGAUUGCGAAGGCAGCAUACCGGCGCCCAACUGACGCUGAAGCACGAAAGCGUGGGUAUCGAACAGGAUUAGAUACCCCUGUAGUC